rnacentral:rRNA from 1 species
GCUUGCUGCUUCGCUGACGAGUGGCGGACGGGUGAGUAAUGUCUGGGAAACUGCCUGAUGGAGGGGGAUAACUACUGGAAACGGUAGCUAAUACCGCAUAACGUCGCAAGACCAAAGAGGGGGACCUUCGGGCCUCUUGCCAUCGGAUGUGCCCAGAUGGGAUUAGCUAGUAGGUGGGGUAACGGCUCACCUAGGCGACGAUCCCUAGCUGGUCUGAGAGGAUGACCAGCCACACUGGAACUGAGACACGGUCCAGACUCCUACGGGAGGCAGCAGUGGGGAAUAUUGCACAAUGGGCGCAAGCCUGAUGCAGCCAUGCCGCGUGUAUGAAGAAGGCCUUCGGGUUGUAAAGUACUUUCAGCGGGGAGGAAGGGAGUAAAGUUAAUACCUUUGCUCAUUGACGUUACCCGCAUAAGAAGCACCGGCUAACUCCGUGCCAGCAGCCGCGGUAAUAUCGAGGGUGCAAGCGUUAAUCCUAAUUACUGGGCGUAAAGCGCACG